GCAGGCGCGAAACCUCCGCAAUGCACGGAAGUGCGACGGGGGGACCCCAAGUGCCACUCUUAACGGGGUGGCUUUUCUUGAGUGUAAAAAGCUUUUGGAAUAAGGGCUGGGCAAGACCGGUGCCAGCCGCCGCGGUAACACCGGCAGCUCAAGUGGUAGCCAUUUUUAUUGGGCCUAAAGCGUUCGUAGCCGGUUUGAUAAGUCUCUGGUGAAAUCCUAUGGCUUAACUGUGGGAAUUGCUGGAGAUACUAUUAGACUUGAGGUCGGGAGAGGUUAGCGGUACUCCCAGGGUAGGGGUGAAAUCCUGUAAUCCUGGGAGGACCGCCUGUGGCGAAGGCGGCUAACUGGAACGAACCUGACGGUGAGGGACGAAAGCCAGGGGCGCGAACCGGAUUAGAUACCCCGGUAGUCC
rnacentral:rRNA from 1 species